CGGAGUAAAUUGAUUGACUCUGGCAUCAAGGGCUAGGGGUACAGGCAGAAAUAUGGAGUUAAGGGCACAAAGGAUCAGGUAUAAAUUUUUGACUGGUGGACCCUCUCUCCAAAGGGAGAAAUAGCCUACUCUGGCCCCUCUUUGACUCUUCGCAGGAGCAUUAUUAAAGAAAGAUUUGACACUAUGAACAGCUACUCCAUUCAAAGGUCGUCAUCCAAUUUUCUCUGGAAAGGACUGAUGGAUACUGCAUUGGUCUUGUGAAAUUUCAUAUUCAGCAGAGAAUAAACAGAAAGAAAAUUUGGCAAAAGAAAGGAUGUAAAGGUUACGAAUGGUGCAUUUAACAAAAUCUAAAGAAAAUGAACUAAAUGAGAAAAAGGCUAUUUGUUGAUUCAAGCUCUCCUUAGCUCAUUUCAUCUGUGGUUUUAAAGCUCCAUACAUCUCCGUCACCUAUUUCUCACCUAGCAGGUAUUAUUAUAGACAUCUAUCACAAUUUCAGUCAGCUAUACAUUCGGAACUGACAUGCAGGGAAAGACCAUCUGAUUCCUGCAUGAUGAUUGUUCAACAAUUUGUCUCUCAGAUGAUCAAAACCAAUCUGGCACAUCAUAUGGAUCAAAGCCAACCAUCACCUUCUCUGAAUAAUGAACAGCAGAUACAAAUACAGUCCCAUGGCCUCUAUUUUACACUGCAACAAUUCUGUGAUUCUGUCUGCUGAAUGAUUCAGUCUCCAGCCCAGUCAACAGUUGGUGAAAAGUUCAUGUUACCAUAGCCCUAGUUGACCAUGGGGCUACUCUCCCAUUAGAGGGAGGUAGUUUAACUUACAGGUCACCACACCUCAGGCAAGGGGAGAGUUUGAGAAGCAGAGUCGUGCUGGCAACCUCAGCCAGAGCAAGAAUUGAACCUAUGUUGGUGGGGUUACCCUACAUUCUAAAACAGCUGUCCAACCAACUGAGAUAAUCAACCAGCAUGCUACAUAAUUCAACUUCUUUUUCAAGCUAUAUGAGAGUCAAUAUGCGCAAUGUCUGUCAGCUGAGGCAGCAGUUAGUGGCCAUCUAUUUUGAGUUUCUUCGAAGCAGUUUGUCGAGAUCCUGACUGAUUUCCACCUUAUCGCAACGUUAUGCUCAUGGAUUUCCAAAUAUUCGGCUUCUAUAUAUCAAUGCUGUUUUGAUGGCAACAAGAACUGGUUCAAGAUGCAAGUUCACUCUAGUUGAGUUCCUAAUGAACAGGGUCAAAGAACAAGUGAUGACUUCUGAUCUCUGAUUAUCUUUGGACAAUCGCAACUCAUGUUGCAUGGGUUGAAAUCACCCGUGGUAAUCAUAUUAUUGUCAUUACAUAUUCUUCUUAUUUCAUCAUAGGAAAUGUUAUCUUCAUCUUUAUUCUUCCCUGGAGGUCUGUAACAGAUUCCUAUCGCUCAUUUUAUCCUAUGCAAGCUUCUUAAUUCAAGCCAGAUUAUUUCAUUUUAAGGCUUUCCUGAGGACAUCAAUUCAGCUUCCUUCAUCUCCAAAUGAUCCUGAACAUCUUUCUCCUUAUCCUUCCAUUCCCAUCCUUCCUGAAAAUUCUGUGGCGUCCAACAUUGAAUUCCCUAUUGUCUUCUGGGUCACGCCAGCUUUUACUAAUCAUAAUGUAAUCAUAAUUUCC